UCCAGCUUAUCGCUGGCGGUCUCCUGCGAGUGCCCCUUGCGGGUUGCAACACAGGACGAGGGUUGCGCUCGUUGCGGGACUUAACCCAACAUCUCACGACACGAGCUGACGACAGCCAUGCAGCACCUCGACUGGACCCCCUUGCGGGGUAGCACUGUUUCCAGCGCCGUUGGCCAGCCGUUCGAGCCCAGGUAAGGUUCUUCGCGUUGCGUCGAAUUGAACCACAUGCUCCACCGCUUGUGCGGGCCCCCGUCAAUUCCUUUGAGUUUCAGCCUUGCGACUGUACUCCCCAGGCGGCGGACUUACCGCGUUAGCUCCGGCACGGACCGACUGAACGGCCCACACCAAGUCCGCAUCGUUUAGGGCGUGGACUAC
rnacentral:misc_RNA from 1 species